rnacentral:rRNA from 1 species
AUGAGUAAUCACAAGGUUAAUGAUUACUGCAAGCUGUUCAAGACCGAGAAUCAUCUUGGGAAUGCUACAGUGACGAGCUUGUUACAUUAUGCAAGAUACUUGUCGAAGAGCUCAAGGGGAACAGUGACCCGGAUAGAAGUAUUUGUAUUACUGACUGCUGCUCUCUUCCUGUUUCUUGCUACCUUUGGAGCAUAUCGUCGCCAGCACAAAAACUUGUUCAUCCUGAAAGUUGUUUUUGGCAUGUGUACCUUAUCCUCCUCACUGAUAACAUACAUAUUCGGUUCAAUGCAAUCUUCUGCAGUGAAGAGCAGCAUGUACUCCAUAUGGGCCAUAUCUCUCUUCCUCCUUUAUGGUUCUACUGACGCUAUGGCGGCUUCUAGUCUCGAUGACACCAGACAGAGCAUUUUAAUAUACACAUACCAUACUUCACUCUGGUAUGUGUAUGUGGUGUUGCUUUUGUUAUCAGUAACAUCAAGUGAUGGUGCCUUUCAUGUUAGCAUGUCGAUUGAUGAUAGUCAUCUAAAAGGUUUACUUACCUGCCCAGUUAUUUUUCUACAUUUCAUUGCUGUACUAAAAUCCUUACAGAGAGUAGCGGUGUGUGUGAUGGCAAGCAACUCAUGGAAACUGAAUAAAAUGGUUGCUGAUUACAUGUAUGACGAGCACACCAGGGGUGAAUUUGUUCCUGCCACCAUGGAAGGUUGCCAUUACCUGGUUGAUUGGCCCCUCAGCAAAUCCAAGCUUGGUACUUCAUCAUUUGCAACAGUAUUAACAGCAGAGGAUGAUGAAGUCAUUGACAUUGAGAAGAUAUGGCAGUGCAAUGAUAGUUCAAUAGGCCUAGAGCUAAAAUAUGCAUGCCUUUCCUUCUCCCUUUUUCAUCUGUUGAGAAGGCGCUACUUUGGGCUUGCCUGUUGUGAAUCCAAAGAAAGGGCACAUGAUUUUGUCUUCAAGGGGCUGCUAUCAGAGAAUGCUACAGACUGCAAUAGGAUUUUCAGGGUUAUUGAGAUAGAGUUGGCCUUCAUGUAUGAUUGCUUCUUCACCAAGUAUGCUGUCAUUUAUUAUGCAUCAACGGCUGCAACAUUUUGGUCCUUGGCUUCAGUCAUCUGCAUUUCUCUUACAGCAUACACAGUAGCCACCCGUCUGUUGAUCAUUCGAUGUGAUCAGGAUGAGCCCCUUCUUGUGAACACCAAAACGGAGGUUGUGAUCACCUUAUCACUACUUGCAUGCGCUGCUUUGCUUGAAUUGCUGCAGUUGUUACAUUAUUGGACAGCCAUUUGGGCGAGAGUAUCCUAUGUUUGUCAGUUUAUCAGACAGCAAUCAGUAUUGGACAGAAGGGGGUGCCACUGCUUGAUGAGAUUAAAAGAGCUUCUUACCAAGAUUGGUGUUUAUUGUGCGUCAGACAAACACUACUGGCAACACAAGCUUGGGCAGUACUCCUUGCUUGAAUCAGUCAGCUGCAAUUCUAACCCUUCCAAGAAAGAGCAUAGAGUAAUCAACAAAUUCGGGGAAUUUAUAUACUCAGCAGUCAGAUGGUUUACUCUUUUUGAUAGAGCACACAUGCACCGAACUAGUUAUGAUGCAUCAGUGAUCUGCAUGAAACCUGGUAAACCCAUCGAGUUGCCUACAGAAGUAAAGGAGGCAAUUGUCCAUUCCCUUGAACAUACUGAUGGCAAACUAACAAAUGGGAAUUCAUCGUUGGUGUCAAAUGGAGCAGAGCACCUCCUAUGGGCUUGUGGACAGGACAUCUACCCAAAUAUAAGCCGCUUCCUGGGAAAGGAGAACCAGACGCACCUUAUCAUGACUUGGCACAUAGCAACAUGUUACUGUGAGAUGACAACAAUGAAAAACCUUCGCUCAGAUGAUGAAGAAAAACUCAGGCCCCAUCUUGACGUUGCCACGAAACUAUCAAAAUACUGUGCGUACUUGGUGGUCUCUGCACGAAAGCUUCUUCCUGGCCACCGAUAUGAUACACUGUCUGUGCUUGAUGCAGUUGCAGUGGAAGCAACCAAAUUCCUGAAAAAUUCGAGGGACAGGUAUGAAGUGAUGAGGAAUUUAGCAGAAUCAGAGGAGACCAUCUUCGAGGGCGGCACCAAGCUGGGGAAGCAGCUCGAGGAGAUUGAAGAUGUGACACACCGUUGGAAGGUGCUGGCUGAUUUCUGGGCAGAGAUGUUGCUCUACCUUGCGCCAUCAGAUAAUGUUAAGGAGCACAUCGAGGAGCUCGGGAAUGGUGGGGAGUUCAUCACGCACCUGUGGGCUUUACUCACUCAUGCGGGCAUCCUUGAGAGGCAGGAGGAUCAUCAAGUUGGAAGCGUGUAA